ACCAAAAGGAGGUGCUUUCAAAUACACAGCCUUUAAUCUGGAGGAAAUAUAUGCCCAGUUUGUAGCCCUCAUCGCUUCUACAGUGGCUAAUGUUGCUGCUUACAGGAACAGAGAAGUGGAUGAGAGACAGUGGCACCUUCAGCAUCCUACAUCAUGGAGAAAAAUGUACUUUUGUUAAAAUACAGUGGGGCAGUGCCUGAAUUUUCAAAGGAGCCAAAGUACAAUAUCCAGAAGCUUUAUGCAGCUCAAGAUAGCAAUAUCCAAUAAACUUUCUCCCAGCACCAAUGGCUGGCAGGAGAGAGAAAAUCUUUUGGUAGCUAUCUCUAGUUUUCUUCUGAGAGACCUGCAGCGUGCUCUGGGUCCUCAGAGGCAGCUGUGCUUGUGCAGUACUACAGCAACACCAUGGUGGUGUCCCAGCUUUCCUUGAUAUUCGUAGUACCUUCAAGUAUACAAGUCUGUUCACUGAAAAGACCAUGCAAAAAAGAGUGAAAACUGCUACAGUUUAGGUCUAACCUUCUUCCAGAAGGCAGCAUAAGAGGCAAGGCUCUAAUACAGAUCCAAAGACAAUGUAGACUUUAAAGACAAAUCUAGACUAAGUGCAACCACAGUGUAGCUCAGAACAAGGUUGAAAACCAUGGCCCAAAUUUAAAGGGAGUUUCUGUAGUAGUGGGCAGAAUGUGGGUACCAGGUGAGGCCUGUGAGAGCAAUUAAGGCCAACUAGUGUAGUCAUGCUCUGACAGAUACGAGCACCUUGCCCAGGUCAUGAAUUCAAGCCCUUAGUCUGGUUGGCUAGAAACAUGGAGAGUCUUAGUUAUUGCUUAGUUUACCGUCAAUUUAGUAACUGUUUUAAUUUUUGCGGUUAGUCAUGUUCGUGUAUCAGAAUUUGUUGAGCUGAGGAAAUUCUAAUACAUGCUACUCAUUUCUUUUCGUUAUUUCUGUUCUCACAGGGUAGAAAAAGAUAUUCAGAGAUUCUGGAUAUACAGCUGUUUUACAAUUAUAUCUGUGCCUUUCAAUACAUUAGCAAGAUUU
rnacentral:lncRNA from 1 species